UGAGGAAUAUUGGUCAAUGGGCGAGAGCCUGAACCAGCCAAGUAGCGUGCAGGAUGACGGCCCUACGGGUUGUAAACUGCUUUUAUGCGGGGAUAAAGUGAGGGAUGCAUCCCUUUUUGUAGGUACCGCAUGAAUAAGGACCGGCUAAUUCCGUGCCAGCAGCCGCGGUAAUACGGAAGGUCCGGGCGUUAUCCGGAUUUAUUGGGUUUAAAGGGAGCGUAGGCCGGAGAUUAAGCGUGUUGUGAAAUGCCGCGGCUCAACCGUGGCACUGCAGCGCGAACUGGUUUUCUUGAGUGCGCGCGACGCAGGCGGAAUUCGUGGUGUAGCGGUGAAAUGCUUAGAUAUCACGAGGAACCCCGAUUGCGAAGGCAGC
rnacentral:rRNA from 1 species